rnacentral:rRNA from 1 species
UAGGGAAUCUUCCGCAAUGGACGCAAGUCUGACGGAGCAACGCCGCGCGAGUGAAGAAGGAUUUCGGUUCGUAAAACUCUGUUGUUAGAGAAGAACAGCGCAUAGAGUAACUGUUAUGCGUGUGACGGUAUCUAACCAGAAAGCCACGGCUAACUACGUGCCAGCAGCCGCGGUAAUACGUAGGUGGCAAGCGUUUUCCGGAUUUAUUGGGCGUAAAGCGAGCGCAGGCGGUCAAUUAAGUCUGAUGUGAAAGCCCCCGGCUCAACCGGGGAGGGUCCUUGUAAGCUGGUUGCCUUGGGUGCAGAAGAGGAGAGUGGACUUCCGUGUGCAGCGGUGAGAUGCGUAGAUAUAUGGAGGAACGCCAGUGGCGAAGGCGACUCUCGGGUCUGUUACUGACGCUGAGGCUCGAAAGCGUGGGUAGCAAACAGG